GACGAACCGUACGAACGUUAUUCGGAAUCACUGGGCUUAAAGGGUGCGUAGGCUGCGCAGCAAGUUGGGUGUGAAAUCCCUCGGCUUAACCGAGGAACUGCGCCCAAAACUGCUGUGCUCGAGGGAGAUAGAGGUGAGCGGAACUUAGGGUGGAGCGGUGAAAUGCGUUGAUAUCCUAAGGAACACCGGUGGCGAAAGCGGCUCACUGGACCACAACUGACGCUGAGGCGCGAAAGCUAGGGGAGCAAACAGG
rnacentral:rRNA from 1 species